UACGAAGGGGGCUAGCGUUGCUCGGAAUCACUGGGCGUAAAGGGUGCGUAGGCGGGUCUUUAAGUCAGGGGUGAAAUCCUGGAGCUCAACUCCAGAACUGCCUUUGAUACUGAGAAGCUUGAGUCCGGGAGAGGUGAGUGGAACUGCGAGUGUAGAGGUGAAAUGCGCAGAUAUCAGGAAGAACACCCGUGGCGAAGGCGGCUCUCUGGGACGGUACUGACGCUGAGGCGCGAAAGCGUGGGGAGCAAACAGG
rnacentral:rRNA from 1 species